CCUACGGGAGGCAGCAGUGAGGAAUAUUGGUCAAUGGACGAGAGUCUGAACCAGCCAAGUAGCGUGAAGGAUGACUGCCCUAUGGGUUGUAAACUUCUUUUAUAAAGGAAUAAAACGAGGCACGUGUGCCUUUUUGCAUGUACUUUAUGAAUAAGGAUCGGCUAACUCCGUGCCAGCAGCCGCGGUAAUACGGAGGAUCCGAGCGUUAUCCGGAUUUAUUGGGUUUAAAGGGAGCGUAGAUGGGUUGUUAAGUCAGUUGUGAAAGUUUGCGGCUCAACCGUAAAAUUGCAAUUGAUACUGGCAGUCGUGAGUACAGUUGAGGUAAGCGGAAUUCGUGGUGUAGCGGUGAAAUGCUUAGAUAGCACGAAGAACCCCGAUUGCGAAGGCAGCUUACUAAACUGUGACUGACAUUGAUGCUCGAAAGUGUGGGUAUCAAACAGGAUUAGAUACCCGGGUAGUC
rnacentral:rRNA from 1 species